GUCAUAGAGAGCGGGGGAGAGAGAAGAAACACUCUCUGCUCUCUCAUCUUCGAGCUUCGAUGGCGAUGAGCGUUGCAAGGCUGGAGAAGGACGAAUCCAGAGGCUGAAGAAGGAGAUCGAUUCGCUCCGGCGUCCAACAGUGGAGCUGCAUGAGUCAGAGACGAGCGCGGCACUGAAGAACCUCCUCGAAGAGAGAGAAAGAAUGGUGACAUUCCCAGAGAUGAGCGCAGCAGCACCACCAUCGCCGCUGUUAUUCAAACCCUAACCCUCCUCACCCUCACCCUCAGCCCACUUUGCUCGUCUUUUCCAGUGAGACUGCCUUCAACGGCAUUGUCGAGGAGCUCAAGAAUUUCACCACCCACGUCGCUCACGUUCUCCCCAUUUCUGACGAUGGAGGAAGCACUGGUGGUCCUGUUGUUGGAGACAUACGUUCCAGGUGCCUGAGGUUGUCUGAUUAGAGUACCGUUGAGGCUCUCGCAGUUCGAAAUUUGGUUAGGCAUCGUCUACCACUUGAUCCACUGCAAGCUAAAUUAGAAUGAUCAUGGCUAUGGAUAACAACAAAGAUGAAGGGAAUGGAGGAUGUACCACUGUAUACAUGGUGUAUGGAUCCAUCUUUGGCUCUAAACCAGUUGCGGUAAUUUUGAUGAUGCAGGGGAAUUGUUCUGGUCAGUAAAAUGUGUAGUCAUAUGCGAAUUCAAUACUGUUAGGCAAGAUGACAGAAUUCUUGUCUGAAUGGUGGAAGGUGCUUGUGAUAUUGUCCCCACGGGUUAGAAAUUCUUUGGUAAUUUAAUGGAUACUGGAUUAUGUUCAGUCUGUGGUGAAGAAAGUUUUGGGACUGGUUCAGACCGUAUUCGUGAGAAAGAUGGAAUCUGGGAAGUUUUGGCCUGGCUAUCUAUACUUGCAUAUAAAAAUAAAGAUAAACUUGAAGACAAGCUUGUCACUGUUGAAGACAUAGUUCGCCAGCAUUAGGCUACUUAUGGGCGCCAUUAUUAUACUCAAUACGACUAUGAAAAGGUGGAUGCAGGUGCAGCGAAGGAACUGAUGGCAUAUUUGGUCAAGCUGCAGUCCUCACUUUCAGAAGUCAAUCAGUACCUUUGACAUCGAUUCGAGGACAAAUUCUUCCCAAGAAGGAGGAGGGAAUGAUAUAGGACUAUUCAAGGAGGAAGUGUUUGACUUGGGUGGGUUCAACAUAAAUGGAUCAAUUACUUGAGUAAGGAGUAAGAGAUUUCAAUAAAAUUUUGGUGAGAGACUAAAUUCUCCCAUAGAGGAAAGAGAAGAAGUGAAAUUCAUAAAUUUUAGCCUUAAAAUUUAUUUUUGUUUUUACUUGUAUUUUGGACCUAUUUUUGGACUUGUAAUUUGCUAUCUUAUUAUUAUUAUUUUUAAGUAUUUUAACUAUUAGAUUAGUUAUUGGGUCUUGAUCUAAUUUAGGAUUAUUAAUAGAAAUUAUAAGUAGUCUUUUAAUGAAAUUUAAUAUUAA